rnacentral:lncRNA from 1 species
CAGUACUCAGUUAAAAGUGGCAUAUUUUUGUAAUGUAUUUUCAAAGUGAGAUCAUACAGUAACAAUUUUUUAAACUGCAUUUAAAUAUUUACAUUUAUCUCAGUUCCCUAAAGGAUGUGUCCUUUUGGACUGCUCUGUUUGGUUCCUGCGAAUUCUAGUCAACCGCCAGUCUCCUCAGAGUCUUAGCCUCUGAUCCUUAGUGAUGCUGGGUUCAUGUCUGUCUCAUUGCCUAUGUUUUUGUGAAAUACAGAUGAAAACAAAAGUAUCAACAAAGGACCACCAGGA